CCAGGAACAAACAGAAGAUGAAACUGGCGAGGAUAUUUGCCCGGAACCAGUUCCAUCUACUAGUAACGUUGUCGCUCAAGAACACCCAGAGCAGAACAGACAACAAACUUACAUCUUUGAAGUAAGUGGAACAAUCCCGAUAUUGAAUGACUUUGAAUGUAAAAUGUGUUUUUGUGUAAUUGUAUUUGUCUUUUUCUCUUAACAAGGAGGAACCUGAUG